rnacentral:rRNA from 1 species
UACGUAGACCUCAAGCGUUAUCCGAAUUUAUUGGGCGUAAAGAGCAUGUAGGAGGUUUGCGCGUUUCACGUUAAAGAUCACCGCCUAACGGUGGAAGUGCGUGGGAUACGGCAAGACUAGAGGAGGUUAGAGGUGCAUAGAACGCACGGUGUAGGGGUGAAAUCCGUUGAUAUCGUGCGGAAUACCAAAGGCGAAGGCAGUGCACUGGGACUUUCCUGACUCUGAGAUGCGAAAGCGUGGGGAGCAAAAAGG